CAUAGCCUCAGCACCUCCCUGGUGCAUGGGGUGUGAGCCAGUGAGCAGGAUUCUAGAGCCUCCGGGAAUGCUCUGGGACCUUGGGCAUGGAUGCAGCUGUGGGCCGUGUGGGUGCUGGUGGAGACACUCAUGCAUGCUUGGUUGCAGAGUUUCCCUGACUUGGGCCAGGAUGGAGUCCUCCCUGCUCCCCUAUUUAUGUGUGUAUUUAAGCAGGUUUGUCCCCCCAGGCCCUCCCCAGAGCUGCUGAACCACAGAUGUCUGGGUCACCACAGUGGACCAGGAUUCCAGGAUGCCUUGGGGUCUACCCAGACUUUGGAGAGAUUUACACAGGGGCCAGCAGAUUUUUUGUCACAUCCACCUCAAAGGGUCCUAGAGGAAUGAGAGCUGCAGAACUCUCGGAUGUAUGAAGAAACUGGAGAUGAGAAUGCCUUGGCUAUUUGUCUUCUGUUAUGGUUUAUAUCUAGAUGCCCACCCCCCAAGCCUCAUGUGCUCAGGCAGACCUUUUGGAAGGUGACUGGAUCAGGCAGGGUACUAUACUUGUAGGUGGAUUAAUCCACUGAUGUGUUUAUAGCUAAACGUGCUGUUAGGAGGUGGGGUCUGGUUGGA
rnacentral:lncRNA from 1 species